GAAAAGUGAAGUACAAGCUGACAGCAGCGUGUAGAGCAGCACACACGUCUGUUAUUGAGGGAAAAGUUGCUGACUGAUCAUAAGGGGCUGUGCAGUGAGCAGACAUGGAAACUGUCAUUGGACUGUUAUUUAUGUUACUCGGAGUCUCUUAUGGUGUGGAAACUCACUGUGAUGGCAGACAGGAUGGAGCUCAGUGUUAUGUACCUUUGGGAGGAACUGUGGACAUUCAGCUGAUGAAUAGCACUUCUGAAAUACCUAGAUACCAGUUGUUAAAGGAUUCAUUAAAAAUACUAGCAGCGAGAAAUAAUACAGUUUUUUCUAAUGCCAUAGAGAGUAGGUCUCUCAUUUUUCCCAGUAAUGGAACAUUUAGGAUCAAUGACCUGAGUAGGAAUGACAUUGGUAAAUAUACCCUGGAAACCUUUGAUUCAGAUGGAAGAAAAUCAGGCGAGCGGACUCUAUAUUUGUUUACUCAAGGUGUGGAAACUUACUGUGAUGGCAGACAGGAUGGAGCUCAGUGUUAUGGAGCUUUGGGGGAAACUGUGGACAUCAAGCUGAUGGACAACACCUCAGAAAUACCUCGAUACCAACUGUUAAACAAUUCAUUAAAAAUACUAGAUGUGAAAGGGGAUAAGGUUAUUUCUAAUACCAUUGCACAUAGAUAUCUCAUUUUUCCCAGCAAUGGGACAUUUAGGAUCAAUGGCCUGAGUAGGACAGACAUUGGUAAAUAUACCCUUCAAACCUUUGAUUCAGAUGGAAGGACAUCAGAUGCUUGGACUCUACAUUUGUUUAUUCAAGGUGUGGAAACUCACUGUGAUGGCAGACAGGAUGGAGCUCAGUGUUAUGGAGCUUUGGGAGGAACUGUGAACAUCCAGCUACUGAACAGCACCUCUGAAAUAGCUAGAUACUACUUGUUAAAGGAUUCAUUAAAAAUACUAGAUGUGAGAGGGAAUAAGGCUAUUUAUAAUACCAUAGCACACAAAUCUCUAAUCUUACCCAGUAAUGGAACAUUUAGAAUCAGUGAUCUAAGCAGGACAGACAGUGGUAAUUAUAGCCUUAUAACCUUUGAUUCAGAUGGCAGAUCAUCAGGCGAGCAGAGUUUACAGUUGUUUAUUCAAGCUCCUGUGUCCUCUGUCCUGCUGGUCUCUGAGUGUCUGUCCCAGGGAGAGAGGAGGGUGUCCUGCUCCUCUGAGAGAGGGGACAGUCCUCAGUACAGCUGGACUCUGGAUGGACGCACACUGACAGAUGCUGAGCUCCUUCCUGGAAACAAUGAGACUAACAUCAUCACUCUGAAACAGCACGUCUCCGGACGUCUGGUCUGCUCAGUCAAGAACAACGUCAAUAGUGUCUCCAAAGAACAGGAGAUACCUGCCUGUGCUGAGUGAGAACAUUGUAAGCAGUGUCUAAUAAUGAAUCAGCAAUUCAGUCACUGAAGUUUCACAGCAAUCCAGGUCAUCGUAGUCUUGAGAGCUAGAGAUACUUGUACUUCACUCUGCUACACAAGGUGCCCAAGUGCUACAGCCUGUAUUAAGAAUAAGUAAAAGGACUGUUCUGCUCCAAAACUGUUGCUAAUUUUGACCUCACGUGUAAGACCUCUUGUAGACAUUGUGAGAUAUUGCUUGUGCCUUGUGCCGAGUGUCCUACCCCAGCAGAAGGUGGUAUUGUCAUUAUUCAUGCCAGUAUUUAUAACUUUACUAAUUACAGAAUUAUCUGUUUGUGUCUCAGAAAAUCACACGCAAAUUAUCACAUACAUACGUUCACUCCUAUCUGCACAAAAUUCGAAUUAAGGCUGGCAAGCAACAGAGACACAAUGCUAUUCUUUUUUUUCUGUAUGAAUUUAUUAAAGACAGUUAAUUGAACUCCUGGAUUGCUUCAGUCUUUCUGACAGUAGAUUUAGGCCAGAUUAUACACCAGCAUUUCAACAUAUCUUUCACAUGUAGCA
rnacentral:lncRNA from 1 species